rnacentral:lncRNA from 1 species
UACCCGAGUGGAUAUCGGUAGAGGCCAGGCGCUUGCAUGGCUACAUCAGAACCUCGGGCUGUGCAGAGUUCAUCUACAGGGUAAUCAGAUUACCCUUGAGGUAUUUCUUCUUUCAUCAUAGUUUUAGAUUUAAUUUUAGAUUUAAAAUAUCAGAUAAUAAGAUUAGAUCUAGAGAUUUAGAUUUAAAAUACAUGUAGGAUAAAAAUUUUUAAAUUUAUUCCACCCC